GAGCCAGAGAAGCAGAGACAGGUAAAGACAAUCAGCAGGGGAUGAAGAUGUCAAACACGGCCAAAGAAGAACUGUAAUGACAACCUAGAGGACUUCCUAAGUCUCUCAGGACUCUUCCAGGCAGUUGGAACUUGAGGGAUUUCAACAACUUCUUUGCUGCCUAGACCUUGAUCUUAGAGAUAAGGGUUUGGACUUGGGAUUGUGCUCAGAAAUGGUCCAAGAAGGAUUUACAACAGAGGCUUCUGGCAGUGAGAAUAUAGAAUCUUACCCAGCAUUUGCUCUGAGCUUUGGACAGGGAGGUAUGUUUAUAACUACAAUUGGAGAAAACUACAGUUAGAGAGAAAUAGUAAGUGCAUUAGUAACUUUUAUAAGUUAUUAACAAGCAGAGCCG
rnacentral:lncRNA from 1 species